CAAGGUCCAAAGAUGGUGUGCGCACUUGUCUGUGGUCAUUUCCCAUUAUAAUGAAUGGGAGGCGCAGUUUCUACCAAAACGCUCGCUGCAGAAAAACUCCAUGUCUUAUUUGAAAAAAGUCUGGACCAUGAGUGAGGGCACAAACACAGCUAGGAUAUAUCCAAAUGGCAAGUUGCUCCUCCUUUCGGUUUUGCCGAGAGAGCGAUGCGUUUAAGCCAUUGAGCGAUGGGCAGGAACAACCUGACUUUUUCUCCGGCCACGGGGGGGCGCUCUUUUGGGGAGUAAAAAUUCCUUCACAAUUGUGUUGAUGGCUGAACAUUGCAUUAUCCUAGAAAACUUGGAGGCCAGUGAGGACAAAAAUAAAAAGUUAUAAGACUUUUGAAAAUGUGGAUUUUUGGGUUAUCUUUGGCGCCCCCUAGAACGUAAACAGUGGGGUGCAGCAUCAUGAUUUUUACAACUUUGAAUGGCCAUGGGGUGUAGAUUGGCCUGAGCAAAUUUGGUGCCGAUGGGACGAAAGCUUUAGGAGUUAGCGAAAUUCCAAUGUGUGCGGAUCGGCAAAAAAUGCAAAAUAGCCCUUUAACCGUACAUUUGACAGAUACGCGUGCAUUGAGUUUUUCGUAGAUCUUAUUGAGAUACAUGUGUGUGUCAAUUUUUGUGUCAUUUUGCCAAAGCGUACAGGCGUGACACUCAACAAUGUGUAUUUUCACCUUAGGGGACAAGAAAAAAUGGACUUUUUUCUCCUGCCAUGGGGGGGCGCUCUUUUGGGGAGUAAAAAUUCCUUCACAAAUGUGUUGAUGGCUGGACAUUGCAUCAUCCUAGAAAACUUGGAGGCCAGUGAGGGCAAAAAUAAAAAGUUAUAAGACUUUUAAAUAUGUGGAUUUUAGGGUUAUCUUUGGCGCCCCCAUGAACAUAAAACGUGGGGUGCAGCGUCAUGAUUUGAAUAACUUUUAAUGGCCAUGGGGUGUAGAUUGGCCUGAGCAAAUGUGGUGCCGGUGGAACGAAAGCCUUCGGAGGAGUUAGCGAAAUUCCAAUUUGUGCGGAUCGGCAAAAAAUGCGGAAUAACCCUUUAACCGUACAUUUGACAGAUACGCCCGCACUGACUUUUUUGUAGAUCUUAUUGAGAUACACAUGUGUGUCAAUUUUUGUGUCAUUUUGACAAAGCGUACAGGUGUGACUGUCAAUAGUGUGAAUUUUCACCUUAGGGGGCGCUAUGGAGCCAUUUUGCAUUUUAUUGUUUGGGCGACUUCAGAAUAUCAAAUUUUUCACCAGGCCCGGUCGUCCUGCCAAAUUUCAUGAGUUUUUGCCAGUGGGAAGUGGGCCAUUUUCCAGUUCAAAGGGGAGGAAAAAUAAGAAACUUGGGCCCCGUUGGGGCACUGGCGGGCCCGAGCUGUGUCGCGCCCCCCCCCCCCCCCCAACGCGCUGCCUCCCCGUCCCAUUCGGGUCCUCUGGCCAUCGCCCUCUCUGGUAACGCCCAUCACUGCAAAGACCCUUUUCCUUCAUCGGUGUUUGCUGUUCUUCCUGCCAGUGCGUGUUGCUUUCACUAACACUUGCAACAGCCAGCCUCGUGAGUGCCUAGCCUAUUGGAUAUCACUGUCACCUACACAGGACAGUCAUUACCUUUCUAUUAAUACUUUGUUUUUAAUUCCACAUUAAUUUCCAUAUUGUAUAAAUGACUGGAAAAAACUUGAGCCCCUGCCCCUGUAUUAUCAUGUGCACGUCCCUGUUGUAGCUCCAAGGUGAAUCUUCACUGCUCAUGUUCUCCUCAGAAGCAGUCACCUCACUCCCCUCAGGUUACUGUACACAUGCACCAACUGCCUGCUUCAGGUUUGGAUGGAGCUUCAUGGUUGUCUUUUGGAGAAAUGACCAGUCAAGUUGUGUUUGAAAUCUGAUUUUUUUCAGGGGCAAAAGGAGCCUCUGCAUUCUUGUCAAAUAUGUUAAUAACAUGUUUUUGCAGGUGCUAAAAAAAAGACUCUGAGUGUGUGUGUGUGUGUGUGUGUGUGUGUGUGUGUGUGUGUGUGUGUGUGUGUGUGUGUGUGUGUGUGUGUGUCCUGCAGUACUCUGAGAAGAAUAAUAAGCAUAUUUCUGAGGUGAAUUUUGAAGAUUCAUCUGAGAGUUAGGAGGGCUGAUCAUUCCCUUACCCUUUAGAUGUCUGUCUAUGUCUGUUUUUGUGUGAUAAUGAAAGAAUCCCAACUCAAAAAGGCUCUGUUGAUCUUUUUUUGUUGUUGUUCAUUCAUAUUCAAACCACUAUUUUAUAUCACUGCUAAUACGCCAAGACCAUUUUAUGGUAUUUAGCUUUAUUAUUUCUAUACAUUUUGCAAGGAAAGAAACCAAGGCCUUCACUAAAAUUUCCAUAAACUUUAGGAAAGGACCUCUGGUUGUUUAAGGGGGUCAUUACUGCAAAAACAUAUUCUUCCUAAAUUUUGAAGGUAAAAGCUUAGAUCCAUUAGGUUUAAAUAGAAAAAGCAUUUAAAUAUGUUAGGAUUAUAGCAUAUGACAAAUGUGUGCCUCUCAGUGGCCAUAACUACUUUGUCUGCUGGCUCUGCAGUCGAUUGCCGUUCCCCAGCGUUCAAGUCACAUGACAUAUUUAACCGGAUGUAGCUGCAAGACGGAGCCUCGUUGAUUCUCCUAUCUUAAAAGUGAGGACCUCAAACUAUAUACCAGUUUUUAAAUUGUGUUGAUAGGCCAAAUAAAACCAGAGUUAUGAUAAAUUAUGUCCGCGAUACUUUUUUUCUGCUUAUUUUGAUCACGUUCGGCGCUCGAUCGCGCUGUAUGAGACAGGAAAACAUAGCAUGCAGACAUUAGCGACAGCUCUUACAGGCGGAAAAGACUUGCCAAAAGAAAAGAAAAAAACACACCACAACAUCUCUCCUAUUGGUGGAAAACUUCACCACAACAACCAAUCCAAAAUUAUAUGGUGACUGAUUGACACGGGACGGGCGCUCGUGUUCUUCCUGCAACUUGAGAAGGGAGGGAGGGACUCUCAGCAGGGAUGCAGUCUGGGACACGUAGUUGCAAACCUAGCGACUUUGUUGUUAGAUUCAAUGACUUUUCAGACCCCCUAAUGACUUUUUUUUUGAAAGAAAGGGACUUUUAUCGACUUCUUCUGGAGUUCUGGAGUUUAGAGACUCUGACAUGAAGCAGGCUUUCCUUACUGAGGAGUUAGCAACGCUGCUAAGGGUGCAGAGCCACACAUGCGCUCCGAGCUCUGCAUGGGAGACUGAAGCUGACAGAGCUGCAGCAGUUAGCAGGUUUCACCCUCAGAGACCACCAGGGGUUCAUGUUGAGGCAUUUUCAGUUUUUUUUUUUUUUUUUGCCAUAGACACUGUCAGCACAAUCUGCAGUUACACUAACAAAAAUGCUGCAAAAAACAAUGAAUUAUGGAAAAAUUACACAUGGACUAACAUAGAGGAGGAUCUACACAAGUUUUUUACAUCAUGUUUUACAUCAUGCAUCAUUUACAUCAUGUUUUUUUGUAGUGGCAUAAAUAAAAAGUGACAUUUGUGAGACUAUACAGUGUUUUGUAAAUAAUUUUACAAAGAACGCCUGGGCCAUUGCCUGCAUUUUGAUGUAAAUAGAGGUAAAUUACUAUGUUCUUUGUUAAAAAUUUGCAUAUGUUUUGAAGUUUACAAUUUUUAUUUGAAGUUUAAGUUUUAAAAACAGUUCAUCACACAUAUUUGUGGUUUAAUUUCACAUUAAUUUCCAUAUUGUAUAAAUGACUGGAAAAAACUUGAGCCCCUGCCCCUGUAUAAUCAUGUGCACGUCCCUGUUCUAGCUCCAAGGUGAAUCUUCACUGCUCAUGUUCUCCUCAGAAAUAGUCACCUCACUCCCCUCAGGUUACUGUACACAUGCACCAACUAUCUGCUUCAGGUUUGGAUGGAGCUUCAUGGUUGUCUUUUGGAGAAAUGAACAGUCAAGUUGUGUUUGAAAUCUGAUUUUUUUCAGGGGCAAAAGGAAGCCUCUGCAUUCUUGUCAAAUAUGUAAACAGCAUGUUUUUGCAGGUGCUAAAAAACAGACUCUGAGUGUGUGUGUGUGUGUGUGUGUGUGUGUGUGUGUGUGUGUGUGUGUGUGUGUGUGUGUGUGUAUGUGUGUGUAUCCUGCAGUACUCUGUACUCCUGCAGUGGCCAAAAAGACUUUUAAGAAUGUGGAUUUUUGGGUCAUCUUUGGCGCCCCCUAGAACUGCAGUACUCUGUACUCCUGCAGUGGCCAAAAUGACUUUUAAGAAUGUGGAUUUUUGUGUCAUCUUUGGCGCCCCCUAGAACGUAAACCGUGGGGUGCAGCGUCAUGAUUUUUACAACUUUGAAUGGGCAUGGGGUGUAGAUUGCCCUGAGCAAAUUUGGUAUCGGUGGGACGAAAGCCUUAGGAGGAGAUAGCCACAUUCCAAUGUGUGCGAAUCGGCAAAAAAUGCGAAAUAGCCCUUUAACCGUACAUUAUACAGAUACGCGCUUUUUGACUUUUUCGUAGAUCUAAUUGAGAUACACAUGAUUGUCAAUUUUUGUGUCAAUAUGACAAAGCGUUCAGGCGUGACACUCAACAAUGUGUAUUUUCAUGUAAGGGGACAAGAAAAAAUUGACUUUUUUCUCCUGCCAUGGGGGGGCGCUCUUUUGGGGAGUAAAAAUUCCUUCACAAAUGUGUUGAUGGCUGGACAUUGCAUCAUCCUAGAAAACUUGGAGGGCAGUGAGGACAAAAAUAAAAAGUUAUAAGACUUUUAAGAAUGUGGAUUUUGGGUUAUCUUUGGCGCCCCCUAGAACGUAAACCGUGGGGUGCAGCGUCAUGAUUUGUACAACUUUUAAUGGCCAUGGGGGGUAGAUUGGCCUGCGCAAAUGUGGUGCCGGUCGAACGAAAGCCUUCGGAGGAGUUAGCGAAAUUCCAAUGUGUGCAGAUCUGCAAAAAAUGCAAAAUAACCCAUUAACCGUACAUUUGACAGAUACGCCCGCACUGACUUUUUUGUAGAUCUUAUUGAGAUACAUGUGUGUGUCAAUUUUUGUGUCAAUAUGACAAAGCGUACAGCCGUCAUGUGAAUUUUCACCUUAGGGGGCGCUAUGGAGCCAUUUUGCAUUUGAUUGUUUGGGCGACUUCAGAAUAUCGAAUUUUUCACCAGGCCCGGUCGUCCUGCCAAAUUUCCUGAGUUUUCGCCAGUGGGAAGUGGGCCAUUUUCCAGUUUAAAGCGGAGGAAAAAUAAUAACGAAAGAAGGAAACAUGCAGGAACAAGAGGGCUCUCGCAGCUGCUUAGCAGCUACGCUCGGGCCCUAACUAGGACCCCGGUGGGGCACUGUCGGGCCCGAGCCGCGUUGCGCCGCCCCCAGCGCGACCGCCUCCCCCUCCCGAUCGCGUCACACUCAAGGUCCAAAGAUGGUGUGCGCACUUGUCUGUGGUCAUUUCCCAUUAUAAUGAAUGGGAGGCGCAGUUUCUACUAAAACACUCGCUGCAGACAAACAACAUGUCCUAUUUGAAAAAAGUCUGGACCAUGAGUGAGGGCACAAACACAGCUAGGAUAUAUCCAAACGGCAAGUUGCUCCUCGUUACGGUGUUGCCGGGAGAGUGAUGCGAUUGAGCCAUUGAGUGAUGGGCAGGAAAAACUUGACUGUUUCUCCUGCCAUGGGGGAUGGGGGAUGGGGGGGAUGUGGAUUAUUUUAAGAAUGUGGAUAUUUGGGUCAUCUUUGGCGCCCCCUAGAACGUAAACCGUGGGGUGCAGCGUCAUGAUUUUUACAACUUUGAAUGGCCAUGGGGUGUAGAUUGGCCUGAGCAAAUUUGGUGUCAGUGGGACGAAAUCCUUAGGAGGAGUUAGCCACAUUCCAAUGUGUGCGAAUCGGCAAAAAAUGCAAAAUAGCCCUUUAACCGUACAUUUUACAGAUACGCGCGCAUUGACUUUUUGUAGAUCUUAUUGAGAUACAUGUGAUUGUCAAAUUUUGUGUCAAUAUGACAAAGCGUACAGGUAUGACAGUCAACAAUGUGUUUUUUCACCUUAUGGGACAAGAAAAAAUGGACUUUUUUUUCUCCUGCCAUGGGGGGGCGCUCUUUUGGGGAGUAAAAAUUCCUUCACAAAUGUGUUGAUGGCUGGACAUUGCAUAAUCCUAGAAAACUUGGAGGCCAGUGAGGACAAAAAUAAAAAGUUAUAAGACUUUUAAAUAUGUGGAUUUUUGGGUUAUCUUUGGCGCCCCCUAGAACCUAAACCAUGGGGUGCAGCGUCAUGAUUUGAAUAACUUUUAAUGGCCAUGGGGUGUAGAUUGGCCUGAGCAAAUGUGGUGCCGGUGGAACGAAAGCCUUAGGAGGAGUUAGCCACAUUCCAAUGUGUGCGGAUCGGCAAAAAAUGCGGAAUAACCCUUUAACCGUACAUUUGACAGAUACGCGCGCAUUGACUUUUUCGUAGAUCUUAUUGAGUUACAUGUGUGUGUCAAUUUUUGUGUCAUUUUGACAAAGCGUAUAGGCGUGACACUCAACAAUGUGUAUUUUCACCUUAGGGGACAAGAAAAAAUGGACUUUUUUCUCCUGCCAUGGGGGGCGCUCUUUUGGGGAGUAAAAAUUCCUUCACAAAUGUGUUGAUGGCUGGACAUUGCAUCAUCCUAGAAAACUUGGAGGCCAGUGAGGACAAAAAUAAAAAGUUAUAAGACUUUUAAAUAUGUGGAUUUUAGUGUUAUCUUUGGCGCCCCCUAGAACCUAAACCUUGGGGUGCAGCGUCAUGAUUUUGAUAACUUUUAAUGGCCACGGGGUGUAGAUUGGCCUGAGCAAAUGUGGUGCCGGUGGAACGAAAGCCUUCGGAGGAGUUAGCGAAAUUCCAAUGUGUGCGGAUCGGCAAAAAAUGCGAAAUAACCCUUUAACCGUAAUUUUGACAGAUACGGCCGCACUGACUUUUUUGUAGAUCUUAUUGAGAUACAUAUGUGUGUCAAUUUUUGUGUCAAUAUGACAAAGCGUACAGGCGUGACAGUCAAUAGUGUGAAUUUCCACCUUAGGGGGCGCUAUGGAGCCAUUUUGCAUUUUAUUGUUUGGGCGACUUCAGAAUAUGGAAUUUUUCACCAGGCCCGGUCGUCCUGCCAAAUUUCCUGAGUUUUCGCCAGUGGGAAGUGGGCCAUUUUCCAGUUCAAAGGGGAGGAAAAAGAAGAAAGAAAGAAAGAACUAGGGCCCCGUUGGGGCACUGGCGGGCCCGAGCCGUGUCACGCCGCCCCAAGCGCGACCGCCUCCCCCACCCGAUCGCGUCACACUCAAGGUCCAAAGAUGGUGUGCGCACUUGUUUGUGGUCAUUUACCAUUAUAAUGAAUGGGAGGCGCAGUUUCUACCAAAACGCUCGCUGCAGAAAAACUCCAUGUCCUAUUUGAAAAAAGUCUGGACCAUGAGUGAGGGCACAAACACAGCUAAUAUAUAUCCAAAUGGCAAGUUGCUCCUCCUUUCGCUUUUGCCGAGAGAGCAGUGCGUUUGAGCCAUUGAAUGAUGAACAGGAAAAACUUGACUUUAUUCUCCUGCCAUGGGGGGCGCUCUUUUAAAGAGAAAAAACUCCUUCACAAAUGUGUUGAUGGCUGGACAUUGCAUCAUCCUAGAAAACAUGGAGGCCAGUGAGGACAAAAAUAAAAAGUUAUAAGACUUUUAAAUAUGUGGAUUUUAGGGUUAUAUUUGGCGCCCCCUAGAACCUAAACCGUGGGGUGCAGCGUCAUGAUUUGAAUAACUUUUAAUGGCCAUGGGGUGUAGAUUGGCCUGAGCAAAUGUGGUGCCGGUGGAACGAAAGCCUUCGGAGGAAUUAGCGAAAUUCCAAUGUGUGCGAAUCUGCAAAAAAUGCGAAAUAACCCUUUAACCGUACAUUUUACAGAUACGUGGCCAUUGACUUUUUCGAAGAUCUUAUUGAAAUACACGUGUAUGUAAAAUUUUGUGUCAAUACGACAAAACAUACAGGCGUAGCACUCAACAAUGUGUAUUUUCACCUUAGUGGACAAGAAAAAAUUGACUUUUUUCUCCUGCCAUGGGGGGGCGCUCUUUUGGCGAGUAAAAAUUCCUUCACAAAUGUGUUGAUGGCUGGACAUUGCAUCAUCCUAGAAAACUUGGAGGCCAGUGGGGACAAAAAUAAAAAGUUAUAAGACUUUUAAAUAUGUGGAUUUUACGGUUAUCUUUGGCGCCCCCUAGAACCUAAACCGUGGGGUGCAGCAUCAUGAUUUGAAUAACUUUUAAUGGCCAUGGGGUGUAGAUUGGCCUGAGCAAAUGUGGUGCCGGUGGAACGAAAGCCUUCGGAGGAGUUAGCGAAAUUCCAAUGUGUGCGGAUCGGCAAAAAAUGCGGAAUAACCCUUUAACCGUACAUUUGACAGAUACGCGCGCAUUGACUUUUUCGUAGAUCUUAUUGAGAUACAUGUGUGUGUCAAUUUUUGUGUCAUUUUGCCAAAGCGUACAGGUGUUACACUCAACAAUGUGUAUUUUCACCUUAGGGGACAAGAAAAAAUGGACUUUUUUCUCCGGCCAUGGGGGGGCGCUCUUUUGGGGAGUAAAAAUUCCUUCACAAAUGUGUUGAUGGCUGGACAUUGCAUCAUCCUAGAAAACUUGGAGGCCAGUGAGGGCAAAAAUAAAAAGUUAUAAGACUUUUAAAUAUGUGGAUCUUAGGGUUAUCUUUGGCGCCCCCUAGAACCUAAACCGUGGGGUGCAGCGUCAUGAUUUGAAUAACUUUUAAUGGCCAUGGGGUGUAGAUUGGCCUGAGCAAAUGUGGUGCCGGUGGAACGAAAGCCUUCGGAGGAGUUAGCGAAAUUCCAAUGUGUGCGGAUCGGCAAAAAAUGCGAAAUAACCCUUUAACCGUACAUUUGACAGAUACGCCCGCACUGACUUUUUUGUAGAUCUUAUUGAGAUACAUGUGUGUGUCAAUUUUUGUGUCAUUUUGACAAAGCGUACAGGCGUGACAGUGAAUAGUGUGAAUUUUCACCUUAGGGGGCGCUAUGGAGCCAUUUUGCAUUUUCUUGUUUGGGCGACUUCGGAAUAUCAAAUUUUUCACCAGGCCCGGUCGUCCUGCCAAAUUUCAUGAGUUUUCGCCAGUGGGAAGUGGGCCAUUUUCCAGUUCAAAGGGGAGGAAAAAUAAUAAUAAUAACAAAAGAAGGAAACUACAGGAACAAGAGGGCUCUCGCAGCUGCUUAGCAGCUACGCUCGGGCCCUAACUAGGGCCCCGUUGGGGCACUGGCGGGCCCGAGCCGUGUCGCGCCACCCCCAGCGCGACCGCCUCCCCCUCCUGAUCGAGUCACACUCAAGGUCCAAAGAUGGUGUGCGCACUUGUCUGUGGUCAUUUCCAUUAUAAUGAAUGGGACGCGCAGUUUCUACCAAAACGCUCGCUGCAGACAAACUCCAUGUCCUUUUUGAAAAAAGUCUGGACCAUGAGUGAGGGCACAAACACAGCUAGUAUAUAUCCAAAUGGCAAGGUGCUCCUCAUUUCGGUUUUGCCGAGAGAGCGAUGCGUUUGAGCCAUUGAGCGAUGGGCAGGAAAAACUUGACUUUUUCUCCUGCCAUGGGGGGGGGCCCUCAUUUGGGGAGAAAAAAUUCCUUCACAAAUGUGUUGAUGGCUGAACAUUGCAUCAUCCUAGAAAACUUGGAGGCCAGUGAGGACAAAAAUAAAGUUAUAAGACUUUUAAAAAUGUGGAUAUUUGGGUCCUCUUUGGCGCCCCCUAGAACGUAAACUGUGGGGUGCAGCGUCAUGAUUUUUACAACUCUGAAUGGCCAUGGGGUGUAGAUUGGCCUGAGCAAAUUUGGUGUCAGUGGAACGAAAGCCUUAGGAGGAGUUAGCCGCAUUCCAAUGUGUGCGGAUCGGCCAAAAAUGCGAAAUAGCCCUUUAACCGUACAUUUUACAGAUACGCGCACAUUGACUUUUUCGUAGAUCUUAUUGAGAUACACGUGAUUGUCAAAUUUUGUGUCAAUAUGACAAAGCGUACAGGCGUGACACUCAACAAUGUGUAUUUUCGCCUUAGGGGACAAGAAAAAAUGGACUUUUUUCUCCUGCCAUGGGGGGGGCGCUCUUUUGGCGAGUAAAAAUUCCUUCACAAAUGUGUUAAUUGCUGGACAUUGCAUCAUCCUAGAGAACUUGGAGGCCAGUGAGGACAAAAAUAAAAAGUUAUAAGACUUUUAAGACUGUGGAUUUUUGGGUUAUCUUUGGCGCCCCCUAGAACGUAAACCGUGGGGUGCAGCGUCAUGAUUUGUACAACUUUGAAUGGCCAUGGGGUGUAGAUUGGCCUGAGCAAAUGUGGUGCUGGUGGAACGAAAGCCUUCGGAGGAG